rnacentral:lncRNA from 1 species
AUGCUUUCAUGAAAUGCGUCAUAACACAGAGAAAUCACAUAAUCUUGUCCGUCUUGGGGGCUUAUGCAAUAUGUAUUCCCCACGGACCCUGGUUUCUGAGAGUCUGACUUUUUGCAUGCAUCUUUCCUCUCAGAGGAUGGACAUGACAUCAAAAAUCCCUCUGUCGGUGCCCGGCUCCCCCAAAGGAGCUCACAAAGGCCUGUAACAUACAUGACAUGGUGUCUGGUCCACAGAGAGCUCACAUGGACUUUCCUACAUGUACUUGUCCGGCUCUCAAAGGACUAAGACAAGACUCGUGACAGAUAUGGGCUAUUGAAGUCGCCUCGGUCCACCCUACCUCAGCAUCAACAUGAAAUAAUGCAAUGCAACAUAUUCGUGAACUAGUGCAAUCAACCUACUAUACAUAAUCAUGAUGCAUGCUCAUGCUUUAGGCGUUAGAUUUUGUGC